UUUGAUCCUGGCUCAGAUUGAACGCUGGCGGCAUGCUUUACACAUGCAAGUCGAACGGCAGCGCGGGGCAACCUGGCGGCGAGUGGCGAACGGGUGAGUAAUAUAUCGGAACGUACCCAAGAGUGGGGGAUAACGUAGCGAAAGUUACGCUAAUACCGCAUACGAUCUAAGGAUGAAAGCAGGGGAUCUUCGGACCUUGUGCUCCUGGAGCGGCCGAUAUCUGAUUAGCUAGUUGGUGAGGUAAAGGCUCACCAAGGCCACGAUCAGUAGCUGGUCUGAGAGGACGACCAGCCACACUGGAACUGAGACACGGUCCAGACUCCUACGGGAGGCAGCAGUGGGGAAUUUUGGACAAUGGGCGAAAGCCUGAUCCAGCAAUGCCGCGUGAGUGAAGAAGGCCUUCGGGUUGUAAAGCUCUUUUGUCAGGGAAGAAACGGUGAGGGCUAAUAUCCUUCACUAAUGACGGUACCUGAAGAAUAAGCACCGGCUAACUACGUG
rnacentral:rRNA from 1 species